AUUAAGGUAGAAAUAAAAGCCCAAUAACUUCGAAUUUUGGAUUAGGAGGCACGGUUGUUACAAAUUUAUUCAAAGUUGUCCAAGUAACUUCUUUGUAUUCUAUUUACUUCGAUAACUUGAGGUUUUUCACAACUGUGACUAUAAGAGAAAAUAGACAUGAAAAUUCUCCUCUAGAAACAAUUAAAAUUAUGGCAAAAAAAGAGAUGGGCUAUUACGACUACCUAUGGAAAAGACAUAUGAAAUAUUUGUAGUUCGAUGGAAUGAUAGUUCAGUGGUGACAGUUGCAACAGCAUGUAAAGCUCCAGCCCUCUAUGCAACAUAGCAAGAUUUUCUCAAAAAUAAAAAUUACACAACCUAAUCUUAUAAAUUCAUAUAAUUAGUAUAGUAAAUUCAUGAAUGAAAUCAAGUGAAUUCUUAUAAUAAAAAUUAUUAGUAUAUUUCGGAGGAAAAUAACAACGACACUUAAAAACUUCUCCUUUUGUGAAUAAUUUAAGGCAAGUUUUUAAAUCAAACAACAAAAAGUCAAGAUUGCUAAUCUAAUUAAUAUUGAAUCAAUCAAGGUAUUGUUAAUCUAAUUAAUAUUGAAUCAAAGAUUAUACAAUAAUACUUAUUUCUUCUAAUGAAGAUGAUUUAACAAUACCCUGGCCUAUCAUGAAACUUUCUUUUACACCUAUAAAGAAAAUUAAGGGCACUAGGUCUA